ACACUGCUAACGAGUCCCAUAAUAGGACGAAACAGCCGUCCAGUGC
rnacentral:hammerhead_ribozyme from 1 species